GCGAUGCAUCUAGAUUAGAGUUUGAUCCUGGCUCAGGAUGAACGCCGGCGGUGUGCCUAAUACAUGCAAGUCGAACGCGUUGGCCCAAUUGAUUGAUGGUGCUUGCACCUGAUUGAUUUUGGUCGCCAACGAGUGGCGGACGGGUGAGUAACACGUAGGUAACCUGCCCAGAAGCGGGGGACAACAUUUGGAAACAGAUGCUAAUACCGCAUAACAGCGUUGUUCGCAUGAACAACGCUUAAAAGAUGGCUUCUCGCUAUCACUUCUGGAUGGACCUGCGGUGCAUUAGCUUGUUGGUGGGGUAACGGCCUACCAAGGCGAUGAUGCAUAGCCGAGUUGAGAGACUGAUCGGCCACAAUGGGACUGAGACACGGCCCAUACUCCUACGGGAGGCAGCAGUAGGGAAUCUUCCACAAUGGGCGCAAGCCUGAUGGAGCAACACCGCGUGAGUGAAGAAGGGUUUCGGCUCGUAAAGCUCUGUUGUUAAAGAAGAACACGUAUGAGAGUAACUGUUCAUACGUUGACGGUAUUUAACCAGAAAGUCACGGCUAACUACGUGCCAGCAGCCGCGGUAAUACGUAGGUGGCAAGCGUUAUCCGGAUUUAUUGGGCGUAAAGAGAGUGCAGGCGGUUUUCUAAGUCUGAUGUGAAAGCCUUCGGCUUAACCGGAGAAGUGCAUCGGAAACUGGAUAACUUGAGUGCAGAAGAGGGUAGUGGAACUCCAUGUGUAGCGGUGGAAUGCGUAGAUAUAUGGAAGAACACCAGUGGCGAAGGCGGCUACCUGGUCUGCAACUGACGCUGAGACUCGAAAGCAUGGGUAGCGAACAGGAUUAGAUACCCUGGUAGUCCAUGCCGUAAACGAUGAGUGCUAGGUGUUGGAGGGUUUCCGCCCUUCAGUGCCGGAGCUAACGCAUUAAGCACUCCGCCUGGGGAGUACGACCGCAAGGUUGAAACUCAAAGGAAUUGACGGGGGCCCGCACAAGCGGUGGAGCAUGUGGUUUAAUUCGAAGCUACGCGAAGAACCUUACCAGGUCUUGACAUCUUGCGCCAACCCUAGAGAUAGGGCGUUUCCUUCGGGAACGCAAUGACAGGUGGUGCAUGGUCGUCGUCAGCUCGUGUCGUGAGAUGUUGGGUUAAGUCCCGCAACGAGCGCAACCCUUGUUACUAGUUGCCAGCAUUAAGUUGGGCACUCUAGUGAGACUGCCGGUGACAAACCGGAGGAAGGUGGGGACGACGUCAGAUCAUCAUGCCCCUUAUGACCUGGGCUACACACGUGCUACAAUGGACGGUACAACGAGUCGCGAACUCGCGAGGGCAAGCAAAUCACUUAAAACCGUUAUCAGUUCGGACUGCAGGCUGCAACUCGCCUGCACGAAGUCGGAAUCGCUAGUAAUCGCGGAUCAGCAUGCCGCGGUGAAUACGUUCCCGGGCCUUGUACACACCGCCCGUCACACCAUGAGAGUUUGUAACACCCAAAGUCGGUGGGGUAACCUUUUAGGAGCCAACCGCCUAAGGUGGGACAGAUGAUUAGGGUGAAGUCGUAACAAGGUAA
rnacentral:rRNA from 2 species